rnacentral:lncRNA from 1 species
GUGCCUUCUCGACAGGAAAAGGUUAUAUAUGAGACAUUUAAAGAGUCUUCCCUUUCAAGGUCACAAAGAAACAUCUGUGGACAACUUUCUGCUUUCCUCAUGAGCCAAAGCAAACUCCUAUACCGAUAACUGAAGUCUUAGAUGCAUGAAUAUAUAAGAUUUAAAACAUCAUAUGCAACACUGUAUUCUACAAAGUGGUUAGUUGUCGUGACAGAAUCUCUGACCGUUUUAGUUGACAAAGAGCUUUUAUUGUAUGAUGAAGAAAUUCUAGUCCAUUGGAAAUGAUGCCUUCUUCAUUGCAGUGGAUCAAUAACAGGAGAAGAGUGGUUCCUUCCAGAACCAGUUUGAUGCAUGUGAAAUGCCAAGGAAAGCCAAAUUAGAAUCUCUCCACUGUACAACUUAAAAAGUUGGAAAGGAGAAAACAUCAUGAUGUGUAAGCUUGAUAUUCCAAUGUUCAUUAAGAUGGAUAUAGGACUAAGCAUAAUGUAGCUUU